GCCAACAGCCUCACCAGCAUAGUCCUGGACGCCGGAGAGUGAGGGAGGCCCCUGUCUAGAGGAGAGGCCCUGGGGACCUUUGAUGAGUCCCCAGGUUGUGAGGAGAAGCAUAGGAGCCACAAACCAGUGGGACGUUGCAGCUGGACACCUUGGAGAAGGAGCUGAUAGCCCGGGAGCAGUACUGGCGGUGCCAGGAGCAGGAAGAGCUGCAUCUAGCCGAACGCCUGGGGCAGCUGAGUGUCGAGCUGCUCUCCGUCUCUGGCAAAGACGCCCGGAGGCAGCAGACAGAGAGGAGUGGGAGCAGGAGGCACAGAUGAUGCUAGGCGUGCAGAAAGUUCUGCGAACUUUAGCACAGACAGCAGAGAAGCUUAGGCAGGCGGGCGGCCGGCUGCAGGGCCAGGAGCAGGAGACGUGGCUGCAGCAGCAUAGUAGUCCGAGCCCGCAUGUCUGGAACCGUCCCUGGAAGGUGGCUGAGCGUCUCUCUGAGGAGUGUCGGGAGGUGGUAAGGCACAGACAGAACUUUCUGGAUAGGGCCCUAGGCCUCCUGCAGUACCAGCGGGAGCUGAGCCGCCUCCACCUCUUCCACACCCAGGUACGGCCUUGGACGUGGCCAUGGAGAUCUGCAUGUCCAGUUCAGUGGGGGCUUCGGAGGGUAGUUCCCAAAGCAGCCCCGUGA
rnacentral:lncRNA from 1 species